rnacentral:rRNA from 1 species
UGAGUACGAGAUGCUACGGCAUCGAAGCAGUCUAUGUCAUACUUCCAAGAAAAGCUUGCAAUGUCAUAAACAAAUAAUGCCUGUACCAUAACCGACACAGGUGGGUAGGUAGAGUAUACUAAGGGGCGCGAGAUAACUCUCUCUAAGGAACUCGGCAAAAUGACUCCGUAACUUCGGGAGAAGGAGUGCCUUAUUUUUAUAAGGUUGCAAUAACAAGAUCCAAGCAACUGUUUACCAAAAACACAGGUCUCCGCUAAGUCGUAAGACGAUGUAUGGGGGCUGACGCCUGCCCAGUGCCAGAAGGUUAAAGAAGUUGGUUAGCAUUAGCGAAGCUGAUAACUGAAGCCCUGGUGAACGGCGGCCGUAACAAUAUCGGUCCUAAGGUAGCGAAAUUCCUUGUCGGGUAAGUUCCGACCCGCACGAAAGGCGUAAUGAUUUGGAUACUGUCUCGGAGAGGGGCUCGGUGAAAUAGACUUGUCUGUGAAGAUGCGGACUACCUGCACCUGGACAGAAAGACCCUAUGAAGCUUUACUGUAACUUGAGAUUGAAAUUGGACUUUAUCUGCGCAGUAUAGGUGGGAGACGUUGAAAAUAUUCUUGCGGGAAUAUUGGAGUCAUCAGUGAGAUACCACUCUUAUAAUGUUAGAUUUCUAACUUUGUAUCAUUAUCUGGUCAAAGAACAGUUUCAGGCGGGCAGUUUGACUGGGGCGGUCGCCUCCCAAACGGUAACGGAGGCGCACAAAGGUUUCCUCUGAACGUGUAGAAAUCGUAUCUAGAGUGUAAAGGCAUAAGGAAGCUUGACUGUGAGACCUACAAGUCGAGCAGGGACGAAAGUCGGUCUUAGUGAUCUGACGGUGCUGAGUGGAAAGGCCGUCACUCAACGGAUAAAAGUUACUCUAAGGAUAACAGGCUGAUCUCCCCCAAGAGUUCACAUCGACGGGGAGGUUUGGCACCUCGAUGUCGGCUCAUCGCAUCCUGGGGCGGUAGUACGUCCCAAGGGUUGGGCUGUUCGCCCAUGAAAGCGGUACGCGAGCUGGGUUCAGAACGUCGUGAGACAGUUCGGUCCAUAUCCGGUGUAGGCGUUAGAAUAUUGAGAGGAGCCUUCUUUAGUAUGAGAGGACCGAGAAGGACAUACCUUUGGUGUACCAGUUAUCGUGCCAACGGUAAACGCUGGGUAGCCAUGUAUGGAGAGGAUAACCGCUGAAAGCAUCUAAGUGGGAAGCCCACCUCAAGAUAAGUAUUCUCA